AUGAACGCUGGCGGCGUGCCUCAUACAUGCAAGUCGAGCGAACGGACGAGAAGCUUGCUUCUCUGAUGUUAGCGGCGGACGGGUGAGUAACACGUGGAUAACCUACCUAUAAGACUGGGAUAACUUCGGGAAACCGGGGCUAAUCCCGGAUAAUAUUUUGAACCGCAUGGUUCAAAAGUGAAAGACGGUCUUGCUGUCACUUAUAGAUGGAUCCGCGCUGCAUUAGCUAGUUGGUAAGGUAACGGCUUACCAAGGCAACGAUGCAUAGCCGACCUGAGAGGGUGAUCGGCCACACUGGAACUGAGACACGGUCCAGACUCCUACGGGAGGCAGCAGUAGGGAAUCUUCCGCAAUGGGCGAAAGCCUGACGGAGCAACGCCGCGUGAGUGAUGAAGGUCUUCGGAUCGUAAAACUCUGUUAUUAGGGAAGAACAUAUGUGUAAGUAACUGUGCACAUCUUGACGGUACCUAAUCAGAAAGCCACGGCUAACUACGUG
rnacentral:rRNA from 1 species